AGAGUUUGAUCAUGGCUCAGAUUGAACGCUGGCGGCAGGCCUAACACAUGCAAGUCGAACGGUAACAGAAAGCAGCUUGCUGCUUUGCUGACGAGUGGCGGACGGGUGAGUAAUGUCUGGGAAACUGCCUGAUGGAGGGGGAUAACUACUGGAAACGGUAGCUAAUACCGCAUAACGUCGCAAGACCAAAGAGGGGGACCUUCGGGCCUCUUGCCAUCGGAUGUGCCCAGAUGGGAUUAGCUUGUUGGUGGGGUAACGGCUCACCAAGGCGACGAUCCCUAGCUGGUCUGAGAGGAUGACCAGCCACACUGGAACUGAGACACGGUCCAGACUCCUACGGGAGGCAGCAGUGGGGAAUAUUGCACAAUGGGCGCAAGCCUGAUGCAGCCAUGCCGCGUGUAUGAAGAAGGCCUUCGGGUUGUAAAGUACUUUCAGCGGGGAGGAAGGGAGUAAAGUUAAUACCUUUGCUCAUUGACGUUACCCGCAGAAGAAGCACCGGCUAACUCCGUGCCAGCAGCCGCGGUAAUACGGAGGGUGCAAGCGUUAAUCGGAAUUACUGGGCGUAAAGCGCACGCAGGUGGUUUGUUAAGUCAGAUGUGAAAUCCCCGGGCUCAACCUGGGAACUGCAUCUGAUACUGGCAAGCUUGAGUCUCGUAGAGGGGGGUAGAAUUCCAGGUGUAGCGGUGAAAUGCGUAGAGAUCUGGAGGAAUACCGGUGGCGAAGGCGGCCCCCUGGACGAAGACUGACGCUCAGGUGCGAAAGCGUGGGGAGCAAACAGGAUUAGAUACCCUGGUAGUCCACGCCGUAAACGAUGUCGACUUGGAGGUUGUGCCCUUGAGGCGUGGCUUCCGGAGCUAACGCGUUAAGUCGACCGCCUGGGGAGUACGGCCGCAAGGUUAAAACUCAAAUGAAUUGACGGGGGCCCGCACAAGCGGUGGAGCAUGUGGUUUAAUUCGAUGCAACGCGAAGAACCUUACCUGGUCUUGACAUCCACAGAACUUUCCAGAGAUGGAUUGGUGCCUUCGGGAACUGUGAGACAGGUGCUGCAUGGCUGUCGUCAGCUCGUGUUGUGAAAUGUUGGGUUAAGUCCCGCAACGAGCGCAACCCUUAUCCUUUGUUGCCAGCGGUCCGGCCGGGAACUCAAAGGAGACUGCCAGUGAUAAACUGGAGGAAGGUGGGGAUGACGUCAAGUCAUCAUGGCCCUUACGACCAGGGCUACACACGUGCUACAAUGGCGCAUACAAAGAGAAGCGACCUCGCGAGAGCAAGCGGACCUCAUAAAGUGCGUCGUAGUCCGGAUUGGAGUCUGCAACUCGACUCCAUGAAGUCGGAAUCGCUAGUAAUCGUGGAUCAGAAUGCCACGGUGAAUACGUUCCCGGGCCUUGUACACACCGCCCGUCACACCAUGGGAGUGGGUUGCAAAAGAAGUAGGUAGCUUAACCUUCGGGAGGGCGCUUACCACUUUGUGAUUCAUGACUGGGGUGAAGUCGUAACAAGGUAACCGUAGGGGAACCUGCGGUUG
rnacentral:rRNA from 1 species